GAUGAACGCUGGCGGCGUGCCUAAUACAUGCAAGUCGAGCGAACGGACGAGAAGCUUGCUUUUCUGAUGUUAGCGGCGGACGGGUGAGUAACACGUGGAUAACCUACCUAUAAGACUGGGAUAACUUCGGGAAACCGGAGCUAAUACCGGAUAAUAUUUUGAACCGCAUGGUUCAAAAGUGAAAGACGGUCUUGCUGUCGCUUAUAGAUGGAUCCGCGCUGCAUUAGCUAGUUGGUAAGGUAACGGCUUACCAAGGCAACGAUGCAUAGCCGACCUGAGAGGGUGAUCGGCCACACUGGAACUGAGACACGGUCCAGACUCCUACGGGAGGCAGCAGUAGGGAAUCUUCCGCAAAGGGCGAAAGCCUGACGGAGCAACGCCGCGUGAGUGAUGAAGGUCUUCGGAUCGUAAAACUCUGUUAUUAGGGAAGAACAUAUGUGUAAGUAACUGUGCACAUCUUGACGGUACCUAAUCAGAAAGCCACGGCUAACUACGUG
rnacentral:rRNA from 1 species